AGAGCGAACGCUGGCGGCAUGCUUAACACAUGCAAGUCGCACGGGCACUUCGGUGUCAGUGGCGGACGGGUGAGUAACGCGUAGGUAUCUAUCCUUGGGUGGGGGACAACGGUUGGAAACGACUGCUAAUACCGCAUGAUAACUGAGGUUUAAAGGCGCAAGUCGCCUGAGGAGGAGCCUGCGUACGAUUAGCUAGUUGGUGGGGUAAAGCCUACCAAGGCGACGAUCGUUAGCUGGUCUGAGAGGAUGAUCAGCCACAUUGGGACUGAGACACGGCCCAAAACUCCUACGGGAGGCAGCAGUGGGGAAUAUUGGACAAUGGGCGAAAAGCCUGAUCCAGCAAUGCCGCGUGUGUGAAGAAGGUCUUCGGAUUGUAAAAGCAACUUUCGACUAGGGACGAUGAUGACGGUACCUGUAGAAGAAGCCCCGGCUAACUUCGUGCCAGCAGCCGC
rnacentral:rRNA from 1 species